AGAAAUUACGACCAGACAUUUCAGGCCAUGAGUAAUGAACUGACCAAUUAAAGUGUCCCUGUCUGCAUUCUAUGCAUAAUUAAAGAUGAAUACAGGUAAUUACUUUGGGCCAAGGUGCUAAAAACAAUUACUAUUGAUAAUAAUGGCCCUGUCAACAUGACGAAUGGGGUUGUCAGAUUCACACGUACAAAAACUACAAAAUCCAAGCAUGUAAACUUGAAAGGCAAAGACAAGCUUGUAUAAUAAAAACCUAUGAUAUAAUGACAUGCAAAGAAUACACAACAAGUGUGUUUGCGUGAAUUAUUUCUGGAAAAUUUAUUUUACUAUCAGAAAGUUAGAUAUUGACUGUUGAAUUCAUACGUACUGCCUAAAUUUUAUCAAAAUGGACAAACUUUAAAAUUGAUUAAUUUCAAAUAAUCUGAAGUGUAUUCUUAUCUUCUGGAAAGCUUUUCUAAAAAGUAGGCAGUCUUCUCUCAGUCUUCUCUACAUCCUGUAAAAAUUUUGUUACUGUUAGCCAUCUGCAGCAAGCUGGUCGCGGUCAUUAUUUGUCAAAUCUGCAGAGUAAAAUGUGUUGACUUCAUAUAUUGCACAAAUAUUUUGUUUAGUUAGUCUAGUACAUAAUUGGAAUGAGCAGAAUCUCUUCUCUACUUCUGCCAAAUUAUAACCUACUUGACCUCACAAAACUGACACAAAUGUCAAAUUUGUCUGCCAAACCCACAAUAACAUCUUUAAUGGUCUUAGUCCCACUUUAGCAAAACAGAGGUCUGCCAACACUAGCUUGGGUACCUAUACUUUACCAAUUUGGCCAGCCAGAACCCCCAAUUUCCUGGGAUGCUUGGUUUGGUGUGUCUGUGUUUUGUUGUUUAUCUUUUUGUUGAAGAGAACAUUUAAUUUCAUGCGAACUACUACUACUGCCAGUCGAAUUUGCGAAUUAUCAUCAUGAACACAAAAGAGGCGAGAAUCCAGGUCAUAGUUGGUGGCAUCACGGGGGAAAGUGGAAUUAGAAGUUUUUGUUUGGGUAUUUGCCAUGAACUUCAAGGAAAGAUCACAUUACAAACAAAACCCAUAAAACAGUUUGGAGUUUUGCAACAUGAAUGAGGUCUUUGUGAUUCUUGGUUAGACAAAAGGGAAUCAUGAUAUAAAGUGGUAUUCUCACUGAUGAUCUUUUCUAAAAUCUUGAAUUUUUUCUUUAAAGUGCACUUCAUAUUUUCAAGUCCAGAGUACUAGUAUUGUUGAAAUACUUGAUAUGUUUUCGUCAAAAAGGUUGAAACAGGGACCUCCUUGGUUUUUGAGUAAGAAAAGAGUAGACACAGAAAGAACUAAUUCAAAAUAAUUUCCAUAGAAAAUAUUUUGCUUCUACACAAACAAAUGUCUGGGAAGACAAUUUUCCAGACAUAACAUUAUCCCCAAUCUUAUAUUAAAAUGGAAUAAGCUAAUAGCUUCUGUGCUAAUGUCUCCACCUAUAGCUAGUACAUACAUGACAAUAGGGAGCCAAGAGAGGUGUCAAUGCUGGGCAGGCUUUAUCAUUCAAAUUCCUGUUGCACACUUGACAAAACACCUUGAGAGCUUGACAGAACCAGGAAAAAACUGCCAUACAACAAUAAUUACAGUUACAGUAACUCAAGGAGCUUUCAUCAUUCAUUUGUGAUGAUAGCUCCUUGAGUAACCGUAGUGUUAUCUCUGUGUGUAAAAUGAAAAACUUUACAGUGUUCUACGACAGGCUUUUCCCUGUCUUAAAAAGUUUAAGCCAUCAAUUCAAGAG